rnacentral:rRNA from 1 species
AACGAACGCUGGCGGCAGGCCUAACACAUGCAAGUCGAGCGCUACCUUCGGGUGGAGCGGCGGACGGGUUAGUAACGCGUGGGAAUAUACCCAGUUCUAAGGAAUAGCCACUGGAAACGGUGAGUAAUACCUUAUACGCCCUUCGGGGGAAAGAUUUAUCGGAAUUGGAUUAGCCCGCGUUAGAUUAGAUAGUUGGUGGGGUAACGGCCUACCAAGCCUACGAUCUAUAGCUGGUUUUAGAGGAUGAUCAGCAACACUGGGACUGAGACACGGCCCAGACUCCUACGGGAGGCAGCAGUGGGGAAUCUUAGACAAUGGGGGCAACCCUGAUCUAGCCAUGCCGCGUGAGUGAUGAAGGCCUUAGGGUCGUAAAGCUCUUUCGCCUGUGAUGAUAAUGACAGUAGCAGGUAAAGAAACCCCGGCUAACUCCGUG